AUUGAACGCUGGCGGCAUGCUUUACACAUGCAAGUCGAACGGUAACAGGCCGCAAGGUGCUGACGAGUGGCGAACGGGUGAGUAAUGCAUCGGAACGUGCCCAGUCGUGGGGGGUAACGCAGCGAAAGCUGCGCUAAUACCGCAUACGAGCUAUGGAUGAAAGCGGGGGACCGAAAGGCCUCGCGCGAUUGGAGCGGCCGAUGUCAGAUUAGGUAGUUGGGGGGGGAAAGGCUCACCAAGCCAACGAUCUGUAGCUGGGCUGCGAGGAAGACCAGCCACACUGGGGCUGAGACACGGACCAGACUCGAACGGGAGGCAGCAGGGGGGAAUUUUGGACAAUGGGCGCAAGCCUGAUCCAGCAAUGCCGCGUGCAGGAAGAAGGCCUUCGGGUUGUAAACUGCUUUUGUACGGAACGAAACGGUCCGGGUUAAUACCCUGGGCUAAUGACGGUACCGUAAGAAUAAGCACCGGCUAACUACGUGCCAGCCGCCGCAGUAAAAC
rnacentral:rRNA from 1 species